AUAAUGGGUCAGCGACUUAUAUUCUGUAGCAAGGUUAACCGAAUAGGGGAGCCGAAGGGAAACCGAGUCUUAACUGGGCGUUAAGUUGCAGGGUAUAGACCCGAAACCCGGUGAUCUAGCCAUGGGCAGGUUGAAGGUUGGGUAACACUAACUGGAGGACCGAACCGACUAAUGUUGAAAAAUUAGCGGAUGACUUGUGGCUGGGGGUGAAAGGCCAAUCAAACCGGGAGAUAGCUGGUUCUCCCCGAAAGCUAUUUAGGUAGCGCCUCGUGAAUUCAUCUCCGGGGGUAGAGCACUGUUUCGGCAAGGGGGUCAUCCCGACUUACCAACCCGAUGCAAACUGCGAAUACCGGAGAAUGUUAUCACGGGAGACACACGGCGGGUGCUAACGUCCGUCGUGAAGAGGGAAACAACCCAGACCGCCAGCUAAGGUCCCAAAGUCAUGGUUAAGUGGGAAACGAUGUGGGAAGGCCCAGACAGCCAGGAUGUUGGCUUAGAAGCAGCCAUCAUUUAAAGAAAGCGUAAUAGCUCACUGGUCGAGUCGGCCUGCGCGGAAGAUGUAACGGGGCUAAACCAUGCACCGAAGCUGCGGCAGCGACGCUGAUGCGUUGUUGGGUAGGGGAGCGUUCUGUAAGCCUGUGAAG
rnacentral:rRNA from 1 species